GGAAGUUUAAGGCGACUGACUCUCCUCUUCCGACUGUUCCAGGUUAUGAUGUGGCUGGUGUUGUAGUUAAGGUGGGCAGCCAAGUGAAGAAUCUAAAGGAAGGAGAUGAAGUAUAUGGGGACAUAAGUGAGAAAGCUUUAGAGUUUCCUAAACAGUUUGGAUCUCUUGCUGAAUAUACAGCUGUGGAGGAAAAACUGUUGGCCAUUAAACCCAAGAAUCUGGAUUUCGUACAAGCUGCUGGGCUGCCUCUUGCCAUUGAAACAGCCGAUGAAGGCUUGGAGAGGGCUGAGUUUUCAGCUGGUAAAUCAAUCCUUGUUUUGGGUGGUGCUGGUGGAGUAGGAUCCCUAGUUAUCCAGCUAGCAAAGCAGGUCUAUGGUGCAUCCAAAGUUGCCGCGACUGCCAGCACUGGAAAAUUG
rnacentral:misc_RNA from 1 species